GGGAUAACCGCCAUCGAAAUGGCCGAGGGAAAACCACCUUACGCAGAUCAAUACCCGGUGGAACACCUGAUAAGAGAAGCUCAACCACCGAAGCUUCAAUCAAACAGAUGGUCACAACAUUUUGUGUCCUUCUUGGAGUGGUGUCUGAAGAAGGAUCCUUCAGAGAGAGGGAGUGCUGAAGAACUCCUGCAGCACCCAUUCAUCAGCCAACUGCCACCUAAGAAAAUCGUCAGGGCUGAGUUGGAAGAACAUCUCCUGACCCUGCAGAACCGGCCGGCCAAGAAAGGUGAGGGAAUGCAUUAUAUUUGAUACGACUGCACCAUCACACAGUGUAACUCAACAGCUGCAAGAGUUGGUUUUAUUAUAAUGGCACUGGGAAUAAUAAACAUGUUUUAAGGGCUCUCUGGACCCUGAGACAGCUGCGGCGAGCUUGUGCACAGACAUCGGCAGAACAAGAAGCAGCUCUGCAAAUGGCCCUGGAGGGCUUCUCCUGUUAUUAAUCUUGUGGCCAAUAACAUCAACAGCCCAGAAUGAGUUUCCUGAAUCAGAGCAGGGGAAAAAGAAACAUCCACAGGAUCCAGUGGCAUCUGCAGCUCCACCAGCAACAUCUCCUUUCAAGCUGAUGCAGUUCAGCAAGUGGUAUCUUCAAGAUUCCUGCAACUACACCAGCAGGGACUUUAUCUCCUUCUUUAGCUCCAUGAACAUAUUAUUUUAAGAGUACCACAUCUCCCCCAGUGGUGUCUUUGCUUCAGUUUACAUCCCUCCACCCACACACAUCUACACCACACUUUCCAACUGCCAUAGUUCCAUCCAUCUUCCUUUUUUUGCAGACUACUACAACUCCUACAUCUUGCCUUAAGCAUCUACAUUUCACAGAACCAUAGCUCCGACAUUCACAUCCAUAUCUACAGCUCCACUAGCAGCUCACAUUUUUAAACAAUAUAACUCCACUAUUAGGACCUUAGUUUUCAUUAGUAUCCAAUUACCACAUCUCCACCCAAGGACUUUUCAUUUAACGUUAGCUCCAUCACCAGCCCUUAUCCCAUAUUUUUCCUCUAC